UUCUUACACGGCAACACCAUCUCACCAACAACCCUCCCUCUCUCACCGAAAGCAUAUAUCUCUCUCUAAGAAGAAAUUAAAGUCUUACUAAAGUUUUAGCUUCAGUUGUGGUGGCAAGAACAAGAACAUGGACACUUGAGCUCCUCUUAUACAAAUCUCUCGCAUCUUCUGUUUUUAGGUAAGGGAUAAAUUAUAUGGGCAUUUGGUAAGUCAUGAGGUUAUUUUAAAGUAUAUUAUGCAUUAAAAGGGUUUUGAUUAGAAAUAUGGCAUAUAAUCAUGUUUCAAACAAAGAUAUGUUCGUGGACUUUUAUUAUGAAUAUGAUUUGAACAUAUUGAUGCUACUAUUAAUUCUACGAACAUGAUGUCUAAAAAAAAGAAGGAAAAUGCUAUUAUUAUGAAACGUUAUGCAAACCAUGAAUUUUAAGUAUGUAUUGAGGAUGGCAGUUCGUCCGUGCUCAAUCAAAGUAUGUAUUGAGGAUGGUAAUUUUUCCGCGCUCAAUUAAAGUAUUAUUGAGGAUGGUAGUGCAUUCGUGCUCAAUCAAAGUAUGUACAGAGGAUGGUGGUGCAUCCGCACUCGAUCAAAGUAUAAGUUUAUGUUAAAAGUCAUAAUAUUUUAUGAGAAGAAUUUAUGAAGGAAAUGAUUAUUUUAUAUGAUUUUAAAGAGUUAAUAUAAAGUUUAGUGACUUUGUAAGAAAUGAAAAGAAUUUAGUCUAAAAGAUUUUGUAGUAUUAAUCUGAUAAAGAAAAUGAGAACAAUUAUUUCCCUAUGAAAAAAAUGUGUAAGUUGUUAUUGUGAAUAAUAUAAAAUACUAUGCAUGAAAAGAUGUUCUCCUAUCUGAAUAUUCAUAAAAUAUUUGAUUUACAUGCAUUCUUAUUAAAGGCCCAUGGAGCUUAGAACGUUACUGGGCUUUGCAGCUCACCCUAUUAUAUUUCAGUGCCCAGGUUCUUCCUGGAAGCAACGAAAGUAUUAGAGGUGGCAAGGAUUCUGUGAUUCUCAUUUGUUAGAAUGUAUAGUUUUUUUUUUUUUUUUGUAUAGUAAUUUAGCUCUUUUGUUGUAUAGGAGGAAUCAAGAUGUACUUGAUCAUUGAGCACAGAUGUAAUUCGGAACCUUAGUUUGUUUUGAACCCCAGUUGUAUGUCUUUGGAGUUAGGUUUGUAAUAAAAGUUUUGCUAAACAUUUAGCUAUGUAAUAUUUACAUGAAUACCUUAAGUUUCAACCAAGUGGUAAUCUUGCAAAGUUCAAAUGAAAUGAAGUUUCGAGGUUUUCAUCA